rnacentral:lncRNA from 1 species
GCCUCUGGAGCGGGAAGGCAUAGGUAGCUCGGGGGGAAGGUUCUGUGGGGUUGGACGAAUAUAUUUUAUGGCUCAAGUUCUAAUUCAGCAGCCCUGUCUCCCUCCUGCCCCUGGGAGAACUUCUGCUUUCCCUGGAAUGGGGCUGUGGAAGGACAGACUGGUCCGUGGGUCCGGGUGACCUAAUUUGAAUAAUGCGAACGGGAAUGCUGAGAUUCUGAUAUGCACGAUGGUCUUGGGGCCUAUGGGUCGGGGGGAAUGAAGACCCUGGAUUGGAAUUGGAAUUGGAACCCAACCAGGAGGAACAGGCAGCCCAGGGGUUUGGUGGAGGGUUUUGGGUGACAGGGACGUUACCAGGAGGCAGGAGAGGCCCAAGCACACCACUUGGCAGUGCCUGGCAGAGCAGGGCAGGGCGCGGGAGGGCGGGUGACAGUGGCUGGUACAGGUUUCAGCAGUGAACACCUCCCGCUGCACUCUGGGCCUCCCCAUGGAGGAGCUGGAAGCUAAAAUAGGACUCUAUUUUGGGGGCCUGAGGCGAACUGGAGUCACUUCCCUGCCAGAAGUGAGAAGUUGCUUCAGCCUCUACCAGGGCAGGCCCUCCCCUAUGCCGGAGUGGCAGGGGGUGGGCCUUAUGGGUGCGGCCUGAGGCAGAGGGUGCGGGCCAAGGAGUGGGAGAGGACCGUGGCUGCUGAGGGGCUGAGGGGCUGGGGGCCUGGCCCACAGACAUCAUCUCCCUCCGUCCUCAGGGCAGCGGUGUGAGGUGGGAGCUGGGGCUUCCCCAUGUUACAGAUGAGGCUCAGAGAGGCCAAGUCACCUCUCCAAGGUCAAUCAGUAGCAAGGGGCAGAGCCAGGAUUUGGCCAGGUCUGGAUGACGCCUGAGAUGUAAUCCCAACCCCAGCAGUGGGCGUGAGCGGGACCUCCACAGGCAGAAGGAGCAGCUGUUUCCUGACCACCUGCCGGGUGCCUGGCCCUCUGCACGCGCGAUGGCUCAGUGAGGCCCUGUGUCCCGCCCCACAGGAGGCUGCAGCCUCGCCCCUUCUCACAGACAGGCCUGAAGCCAAGAAGGCAGGCCUGGGAAGCUCCAGCCUCAGGUUGCUGCCCGGAGUCGCCAUGAAGGAAUGUGAUGCAGCCUAUUGGAGGAGAACCAAACCCCACCACCACCCCAGAAAGCCAUACCAGCUGCCGACAUGUACAUGGGCUCAUCGGGGGUUUUCCAGGCCCACUGAUGUUCCAGCUGAGCACAGCUGCCGGGUUGCCCACGCGCCACAUGAGGCAGAGCUUGC